AGUGAACGCUGGCGGUAGGCCUAACACAUGCAAGUCGAACGGCAGCACAGUAAAGAUUUCGGUCUUUAUGGGUGGCGAGUGGCGGACGGGUGAGUAAUGCGUAGGAAUCUGUCCUGGAGAGUAGGAUAACCCGAGGAAACUCGGGCUAAUACUGCAUGAUAUCGAGAGAUCAAAGGCAGGGGACCCUUCGGGGCCUUGCGCUCUAGGAUGAGCCUACGUCGGAUUAGCUAGUUGGUGGGGUAAAGGCCUACCAAGGCGACGAUCCGUAGCUGGUCUGAGAGGAUGACCAGCCACACUGGGACUGAGACACGGCCCAGACUCCUACGGGAGGCAGCAGUGGGGAAUCUUGGACAAUGGGGGAAACCCUGAUCCAGCGAUGCCGCGUGUGUGAAGAAGGCCUUCGGGUUGUAAAGCACUUUAGUUGGGGAAGAAAAGUAAUGAGUGAAUAACUGAUUGCUCUGACGGUACCCAAAGAAUAAGCACCGGCUAACUCUGUGCCAGCCGCCGCCGUAA
rnacentral:rRNA from 1 species